CGUUGGUGUCAAUGCAGAUG
rnacentral:snRNA from 1 species